GACAGAGGGUGCAAACGUUGUUCGGAAUUACUGGGCGUAAAGCGUGUGUAGGCGGCCAUGUAAGUCGGAUGUGAAAGCCCCGGGCUCAACCCGGGAAGUGCACUCGAUACUGCGUGGCUUGAGUAUCGGAGAGGUUGGUGGAAUUCUCGGUGUAGAGGUGAAAUUCGUAGAUAUCGAGAGGAACACCGGUGGCGAAGGCGGCCAACUGGACGAAUACUGACGCUGAGACACGAAAGCGUGGGGAGCAAACAGG
rnacentral:rRNA from 1 species